GACGAACGCUGGCGGCGUGCUUAACACAUGCAAGUCGAACGAAGUGGCGAACGGGUGAGUAACGCGUAAUAAACCUGCCCUUCAGAGGGGGACAACAGUUGGAAACGACUGCUAAUACCGCAUACUGAAGGAGGGGAUUGUGUCUGAUUGGCUAGGUGGAGGGGUAACGGCCCACCAAGGCGAUGCUCAGUAGGCGGUCUGAGAGGAAGAACGGCCAAAUUGGGACUGAGACACGGCCCAGACUCCUACGGGGGGCAGCAGUUGGGAAUCUUCGGCAAUGGACGGAAGUCUGGCGGAGCAACGCCGCGUGAGUGAUGACGGCCUUCGGGUUGUAAAGCUCUGUUAAUCGGGACGCGGUACCGGAAGAGAAAGCCACGGCUAACUACGUGCCAGCCGCCGCGGUAAUAC
rnacentral:rRNA from 1 species